GACGAACGCUGGCGGCGUGCCUAACACAUGCAAGUCGAGCGAGUGAAUCUCCUUCGGGAGUGAAGCUAGCGGCGGACGGGUGAGUAACACGUGGGCAACCUGCCUCAUAGAGGGGAAUAGCCUUUCGAAAGGAAGAUUAAUACCGCAUAAGAUUGUAGCUUCACAUGAAGUAGCAAUUAAAGGAGCAAUCCGCUAUGAGAUGGGCCCGCGGCGCAUUAGCUAGUUGGUGAGGUAACGGCUCACCAAGGCGACGAGGCGUAGCCGACCUGAGAGGGUGAUCGGCCACAUUGGGGCUGAGACACGGCCCAGACUCCUACGGGAGUCAGCAGUGGGGAAUAUUGCACAAUGGGGGAAUCCCUGAUGCAGCAACGCCGCGUGAGUGACGACGGCCUUCGGGUUGUAAAGCUCUGUCUUCAGGGACGAUAAUGACGGUACCUGAGGAGGAAGCCACGGCUAACUACGUGCCAGCCGCCGCAGUAAUAC
rnacentral:rRNA from 1 species